rnacentral:rRNA from 1 species
GUCGAGAAUCUUUCACAAUGGGGGCAACCCUGAUGGAGCGACGCCGCGUGGAGGAUAAGGUCUUCGGAUUGUAAACUCCUGUCAUGCGUGAACAAGGUUGCUUGGUUAAUACCUGGGCAAAUUGAUGGUAACGCAAGAGGAAGAGACGGCUAACUCUGUGCCAGCAGCCGCGGUAAUACAGAGGUCUCAAGCGUUGUUCGGAAUCACUGGGCGUAAAGGGUGCGUAGGUGGCGUGGUAAGUCAGAUGUGAAAGCCAGGGGCUCAACCUCGGAACUGCAUCCGAUACUGCCAUGCUAGAGUACUGGAGAGGUGACUAGAAUUCUCGGUGUAGCAGUGAAAUGCGUAGAUAUCGAGAGGAAUACCAAAGGCGUAGGCAGGUCACUGGACAGUUACUGACACUGAGGCACGAAGGCCAGGGGAGCGAACGGGAUUAGAUACCCUUGUAGUCC